ACUGCUACGAACUUUACCACAGCGUCUAAGCUAAACUCCCGCCUGCUGUAGUGUAUGAGCAGCACAGCGCUGCGUAGCGUGAAUCUGGCCCGAGUCCCGACACUUUGAGGCUCGUCUUGGAUAUGAUGCGUUCUUGGCGGUGCAGCAGCUCCGCUCACAGCACUGCGCACCAAGGUCUGUGAAGCGGCGCCUUACUCGCCAGUCUUGGUUAUGUUGCAGCGCGCUGAGGCAUUCUGAGAUUGCAACCUGCACUCGAGCUCGACACAUUCUGAGGAACUUCCGGCGUUCAGGGUUCGAUAAACACAGGUGGUAGGUGGCCACCACACGCCAGUACUGUUGGAGGGCUCGUUUCGCUUGCGCCGAAAGCCACUGUACGUACAUAGACGGUACCGAUAUGCGCUCUUCUGCUUUCAGCAAGUGUGCUACGCUACUGGUGCAAACUGGACAGAGGUGGUAUAUGCGUGCCUCCUCUAUUGCCUUCUCAAGGUGAGCGUACGCGUCCACAAACUGAGACCAGGCCCAGAUGCGAUACAUUCCUAUGCCAUUGGCGCGAUAGGGAGAACAUUUCAGGCGAGGCAUGGAACUUCAACUACUGAGCCAAGUCUUCCAACAAGUUUCAGGAACCGAAUGUUAUUUAUGAAUUAGCUAGUGUCGUGUCUUGAGCAGACCAAGGCUUGGGUUGCGCUGUUCAUCGACAGGUGGACAAGCAUCCAUUUGACCAGAGAGUGAUUGUUGGACAUCUACGGUUCCUCUUCUGGAUGGUUUAGAUCCUUGAAAUCAGGAAGCAGGUCGCCGUGAUCUUGAACGAAUUCCUUCGUAGGCAAAAUGCCAGUCGCAGGUCUCAAUGGGGCGGCCCUCACUUUCUCCCGCGUUGUAUGAUACGGUCUCUCGCUGAAGCGCGAACUGCGGAUGGAGAGCCAUGCCAAAUCCAUGCAACCCUUGCUGCUUUUUAUGGAAUGUGUGCUGUCUUGCAUGCUGUUCCUAAUCACACUGCCGUGUACUUCAAGGCGAUGAGCGGCAUGCUUGGCGCUGUCGGAUGCGAGCGACCGAGCAUCAUCUAAACCGUCGUUCCGGUCGAGGAUGAAAGUACGACAUAGCCGCUGCGGCGGUGUCGCGGAGCGGUGCCUGUAUUUGACCUCUUAAAAUUGGAUCUUUUUUUCGAAGCUGUAUGCGCAUCAAGGCAGUCUGGUGAAGCACGAAGGACGCUCGAAUGCAUUAAAAUCCUCCAAAGAGAGACUAGCGGAGUGGGACGUUUGGAAUGACCGAGCGAGCUGUGACCUGUAUUGUCGGAUUUUUUGGUCUAUAGUAUAGCAAACAGGAGCUUUUCAUUCGUCACUGAGAAAGCGGCCUGCAAUGGCAUCAGGUUAAAAAAUACACAACGCGUCAAUGACAAAAUGGAAUCAUGCUCGUCUGGGACCGACUUGAUUUGCCCACUUAUAGGCCGGGCGCUGACUGAUAUGGUUGCCUACUGCUAGAGCACGUUUUCGAAGGAUUCGCAAUAGCGCAGGGCACCAUACCUGGGUCCCGGUCUCAGGGCGGAGUCACCAUUGGCAUGUUGUUCUGGUAGAGCACCUGACCCGCCACAGGGCCAACAUGUACACAGAUGCAAGCACUCUGGAUAACCCUGCUCAAGUACGCACUUUGCUCGUCCUAAACCAAGUGUAGAGAUGUUGCGGGACUAGGGCAUACACCUGUUGCGUAUGGGCGUGCGUGCGGGCUUCUCGCCACAUCUUUGCAUACUUCCGACAAACGCCUUACAGAUUCAUCAACAACCUAUUCAAGGAUCGUUGAUCGACAGACAAAAGACCGCCGUGCUGGUUAUUCUCAAGACGUUCAGGUACAACAAUAGAGACGUCAGAAAGAAACCGAAAGUGUCUUCUUCCUGGGCCCCACUCGAUAAAGUU